rnacentral:rRNA from 1 species
UACGUAGGGGGCUAGCGUUGUCCGGAUUUAUUGGGCGUAAAGAGCGUGUAGGCGGCCAGGUAGGUCUGCUGUGAAAACUCGAGGCUCAACCUCGAGACGUCGGCGGAAACCAUCUGGCUAGAGUCCGGAAGAGGAGAGUGGAAUCCUGGUGUAGCGGUGAAAUGCGCAGAUAUCAGGAGGAACACCGAUGGCGAAGGCAGGUCUCUGGGCAUUAACUGACGCUGAGGAGCGAAAGCAUGGGGAGCGAACAGG